rnacentral:rRNA from 1 species
GAUGAACGCUGGCGGCGUGCCUAAUACAUGCAAGUCGAGCGAAUGGAUUAAGAGCUUGCUCUUAUGAAGUUAGCGGCGGACGGGUGAGUAACACGUGGGUAACCUGCCCAUAAGACUGGGAUAACUCCGGGAAACCGGGGCUAAUACCGGAUAACAUUUUGAACCGCAUGGUUCGAAAUUGAAAGGCGGCUUCGGCUGUCACUUAUGGAUGGACCCGCGUCGCAUUAGCUAGUUGGUGAGGUAACGGCUCACCAAGGCAACGAUGCGUAGCCGACCUCAGAGGAUGAUCGGCCACCGUGGGGCUGAGGAGCGGCCCAGCCUCCUACGGGAGGCAGCAGUAGGGCAUCUUCCGCAAUGGACGAAAGUCUGACGGAGCAACGCCGCGUGAGUGAUGAAGACUUUCGGGUCGUAAAACUCUGUUGUUAGGGAAGAACAAGUGCUAGUUGAAUAAGCUGGCACCUUGACGGUACCUCACCAGAAAGCCACGGCUAACUACGUGCCAGCCGCCGCGGUAA